ensembl:lncRNA
CCUUUUUCUACUUUCUUGUAGUUGCUAGAAACCGUUGGUAUUCCUUGGCUUGUAGGUGCAUCACUCCAAUAUCUGCCUCUAUUGUCACCUGGCAUUAUCUCUGUGUGUCUCUGUGUUCAAAUUUCCCUCUUCUUAUAAAGACGCUAGUCAUUGGGUUAGGGCCCAUUGUAAUCCAGGAUGGCCUCAUUAAUUUGAUUACACCUGCAAAGACCCUAUUUACAAAUGAGGUCAUAUUCAGAGAUACUAGGAGUCAGAAGUUUAACAUAUCUUUUUGGGGAUACAAUUCAACAAUUUUAACGCUUGCUGUAGCUUUAAAUGGAAGGGGUUUCAAAGUUCUUAGGAGUCCUUGUUUUUGUCUUCCCAGGUAUCUCUUGUUUUCUCUAACACCUCCUCUUAAAUAGAGACUGACCCUUGCAGCUCUUUCAGCUGUUAUCCAUUGUUAAUACGCUUGAGCCCUGGUGAUGCAGUGGGAAGAAGUGGGAGAGGAAAAACCUUCUAUGAUAUUAUGAUUACGUUUUAGUGUUUUAGUAAGUCUUUGUCUCUGAACUGCAACCUUCACAAGUGUUUCUUCAUCCUCUCCUGUCUUACACUUGAAAAAGGAAGCCUAGAAGAAGCUGGAGCCUGGGACAUACCUUUCCACCAGCUGAUAUAAGGCUCUUUUUUGCCGGAAGGGCUUUGUUAUAGAGAACACUCCCAGCAUAUUUCAAAAUGGCUACUUUCCUCUUUUCCUGCCAGAGGGAUGAGCUUCAGGUUAUGCCUAAGAGUUCCAGCUUGUCUUUGCUGACGAUCUGCCCUAGAGAUCUCAGACUUGCGUAGACGGACCACGCAAUUAUCUUAGCCAGUCUCUCAGCACCUGUAUACCUUCACCCUCAAUGAUAUGGAUGUUCUACGGGAGAGGAUGAUGCCCUUCUUCAUGAAGCAAAACCUACACCUGGUCCAGGAGUUGGUCAACCUUAAGGAAGAACUCCAUCAGGGGCUAGAAGAGAUUCAGCUCUAGUUGCUGCCUUACACUAAUGGCAGGAGAGAAAAUUAUGUGAUGAGCAACAAUGUCUCAUGCUCUGCACUGUCUUUUAAGAACAAAGAAAAUAUGUCUGCUGCCUCACUUCCAUCGUCUACAUCUCAAAAAAAGUAUCCCUUUGGCCCAGAAUAAUAAGGACUAUGCAGGGAAAGGAAUUCUGGGAAAUGUAGCUGAAUUAACCCAACACAAAUCUACAAUAGUAUCCAGAACAUUUAAUACCAUUAUGAUACUAGUGUUGGCUAUUCGCAGUAGAUAGGACUCAUAGAGUUGAAAUAGUGUCCUGGAGACCACCUCUUUUACCUGGAUUGAGGCCUUUAGUUGUGGGGAGUUUGGGGAUCCAAGGGUAGAGCUCAGUAUGUUGAAGAAGAGCACUAGUGGGAGCAUUGAGACAGUAGCUAUGAAAUAACCUAUCCAUAAGUAUUUCAAAUUUUAACAACUCGUAUGACUGCAUUAUUUGCACCUGUAACAGUUCAACAAAUAUUUGUUGAAUAAACGAUGACUGAACAUUCCAAUGGUCCUGGUGUUCAGUAGAAUAAGUGUCCUUGCUCUGCAUUGCAUCUUCCAACUAAUUUAUACUCCUUUCUCCUUUCAAACUCCUAGUGUAAUGUACUUUUUCUAAUUAGCAUUUGACAUUGACUUUAAUUUACAUCUUGCUGUGGUGAUGGUACAUUUCAAAGAUUCCCCAGAUCACAAAUAUAAUGAUAAUGUAAUUAUUUCAAUGUAUUAAUUAGUUUACUAAUAAGUAUUUCAAAU